rnacentral:rRNA from 1 species
GAAAUAAGAUUUUAAAUGAGUGCUAAGAGAAUGAUUAAACAAUUAAAAGCUUUCUUUAAUUAAAAAAUUAAAUUUAAUUUUUUAGUGCAAAAGCAAAAAUAAAAUUUAGGGACAAGAAGACCCUAUGAAUUUUUAUUGUUAAUAAUUAAAAUUUAAGUUAUUAAUAAUUUAAUUGGGGCGAUAAAAAAAGAAUAAGUAUCUUUUUAGUUAUAAAAUAAGUUCCGUUUUUAGCGAUUAAAUGAAAUAAAUACUCUAGGGAUAACAGCGUAAUAAUUUUGGAUAGUUCAUAUAGAUAAAAUAGUUUGCGACCUCGAUGUUGGAUUAGGAUUCUU